GGAAUCUUGCGCAAUGGGGGAAACCCUGACGCAGCAACGCCGCGUGAGUGAGGAAGGUCUUCGGGUCGUAAAGCUCUGUCAGGCGGGAAGAAAUGCAUGGAGGUGAACAGCCGCCAUGCUUGACGGUACCGCCAGAGGAAGCACCGGCUAACUCCGUGCCAGCAGCCGCGGUAAUACGGGGGGUGCAAGCGUUGUUCGGUAUCAUUGGGCGUAAAGAGCGUGUAGGCGGCUUGGUAAGUCAGAUGUGAAAGCCCUGGGCUCAACCCGGGAAGUGCAUUUGAAACUGCCAGGCUCGAGUAGGGGAGAGGGAAGUGGAAUUCCUGGUGUAGAGGUGAUAUUCGUAGAUAUCAGGAGGAACACCGGUGGCGAAGGCGACUUCCUGGCCCUAUACUGACGCUG
rnacentral:rRNA from 1 species